AAAAAAAAAAAAAAAAGAAGCUUCCUACUCCUCUACCUAUCGGUGACAGUCCCCUCCCUCUCUUCUUCCCGUUUUUCGACCAAAUGGCCAUUGUUUCCGGUGAGUGAGGGCUCUAAACUCUAGAGCCCAACGAGAUGAACACGCCUGUGGCCAUUGUUCAUGCAAUAAAGGCCUCGAUCGAGAGAAACUGUGAGCAAGAGUUUUGAUAUCGUAGCGACGCAUUUUUCGACGAUUCCCACCGUUAUUGGCGAAGACAACCUUUAAGGAGGCUUUCGAUCAACUCUCCAUCACCUUACGAUCAUUUUCUCUUCAUAAUUUUUGGCAUCUAACUCUAUCUCCUGAAUCCGCCAUGAACCGGCAAAAGAGACUAUCGAGGUGAUUUUCGGCUAAAGGGCUUCUCUUCUUUGCAAAUUCACGCCAGAUAUGGACUCCAAGAGAAAAUUCGAGCAAUCUGGUGUUCUUUUCUGUCGAAAUUGAGUUUUUUUCCACCAUGCACAGUAGCCGGCAGUCUGCUGACCAGCCGGUGACACCCUGACGAGGCUUCCUAGGGAUAGAAUUUUCCCCCUUUCGUGGUAAUCACGAAUCUGCAAUCCGAUUUUUAAUCGGUUACAGGUCUUCCAAUAAGUCAUUAUCCUUUGUCACCAAACGCCUAGAAGAUACCUCAAUAAAUAUUUUGAAAAUUUAAGUUCUUAGAUUGUUUUGUAAUUACGUUAGUCAUGUAUAAUAAACUUAGAGAUUAUUGAUGUAUUACUUACUAAAGUUUCUAUCAGGUAAUAUAUUAUAUGCGCCUAGAGAACUUUGAAAAUUAAUUUAUGAUUGAAUAUGAUAAUAUGUGCCAAGCGAGCCUAAGAUUUAUGA